AAAGAAUUAGUUAAUCUAUAACAUUAGUAUGUCAAACUAAAAUUAUUAAAAUUUAAUAAAUUUAAUAUUCUUUA
rnacentral:tRNA from 1 species